UCCGACUGGAACUUCCUUCUCUGAUGGUCAAUGUUGCUGCUCUUGAUGAUGAAUUUUAACUAUUAGCUCGAUGUCUUCUGUGCAACAGUAAUUCACAACAUUUAGCAACAUGUUGAAGGUGGUUGUUGAAUCCGCCAAAGGAAUUCCUAAAAGACACUUGGAAUUCCAGACCCUAUAGCAGGAGUUAUCUUUAAGGGUGAAAAAAAGAAAACAAAAGCAAUUGACAAAGAAUUAAAUCCCGUGUGGAAUGAGAUUAUUGAGUUUGAUUUGAAAGGUACCCCGUUGGAUUCCUCUUCAUUCAUUGAUGUGGUUGUGAAAGACUAUGAAACCAUUGG